rnacentral:sRNA from 1 species
AAGAAGCUUGGUUAGUGUUUUGGAGUCAAAUAUUACUAAAUGUCAUGUGUAUGAGUGAGUAUGACAACUAGAACCAUAACCGGAUCUUAAAAACCUAAGUAUUGAAUCUUUGUUAGAAGAUACAAAGAUAAAGACUCAUACGGACUUCGACUACACUAUCAAAGCUUUGAGAAGCAAGAAGAAGCUUGGUUAUUGUUUUGGAUUCGAAUAUGACUUGAUGUCAUGUGUAUGACUCAGUAUAAACACUAGAACCGCAACGGAUCUUAAAAGCAUAAGUAUUGUAUCAUUGUUAGAAGAUACAAUGACGAAGACUCAUACGGACUUCGACUACACCAUCAAAGCUUUGAGAAGCAAGAAGAAGCUUGGUUAGUGUUUUGGAGUGAAAUCUAACUAGAUGUCAUGUGUAUGAGUGAGUAUAAAAACUAGAACCGCAACGGAUCUUAAAAGCCUAAAUAUUGUAUCCUUGUUAGAAAAUACAUAGACAAAGUCUCAUACGGAAUUCGGCUAAACCAUCAAAGCUUUUAGAAGCAAGAAGAAGCUUGGUUAGUGUUUUGGAGUGAAAUCUAACUAGAUGUCAUGUGUAUGAGUGAGUAUACCAACUAGAACCACAAUUGGAAUUUUAAAAGCCUAAGUAUUAUAUCCUUGUUAGAAGAUACAAAGACAAACACUCAUACGGACUUUGGCUACACCAUCAAAGCUUUGAGAAGCAAGAAGAAGCUUGGUUAGUGUUUUGGAGUCGAAUAUGACUUGAUGUGAUGUGUUUGAUUGAGUAUAAGAAAUUAAACCGCAACCGGAUCUUAAAAGCCUAAGUAUUGUUUCCUUGUUAGAAGAAACAAAGGCAAAGCCUCAUACAGACUUUAGUUAUACCAUCAAAGCCUUGAGAAGCAACAAGAAGCUUGGUUAGUGUUUUGGAGUCAAAUAUUACUAGAUGUCAUGUGUAUGAGUGAGUAUGACAACUAGAACCAUAACCGGAUCUUAAAAACCUAAGUAUUGAAUCUUUGUUAGAAGAUACAAAGACAAAGACUCAUACGGACUUCGACUACACUAUCAAAGCUUUGAGAAGCAAGAAGAAGCUUGGUUAGUGUUUUGGAUUCGAAUAUGACUUGAUGUCAUGUGUAUGACUCAGUAUAAACACUAGAACCGCAACGGAUCUUAAAAGCAUAAGUAUUGUAUCAUUGUUAGAAGAUACAAUGACGAAGACUCAUACGGACUUCGACUACACCAUCAAAGCUUUGAGAAGCAAGAAGCAGUUGGUUAGUGUUUUGGAGUCGAAUAUGACUUGAUGUCAUGUGUAUGAGUGAGUAUAAAAACUAGAACCGCAACGGAUCUUAAAAGCCUAAAUAUUGUAUCCUUGUUAGAAGAUACAUAGACAAAGUCUCAUACGGAAUUCGGCUAAACCAUCAAAGCUUUUAGAAGCAAGAAGAAGCUUGGUUAGUGUUUUGGAGUGAAAUCUAACUAGAUGUCAUGUGUAUGAGUGAGUAUACCAACUAGAACCACAAUAAGAAUU